rnacentral:rRNA from 1 species
AUUCCGGUUGAUCCUGCCGGAGACUACCGCUAUCGGAGUCCGAUUUAGCCAUGCUAGUCCACCGAACCUUUGGUUCGGGGCGGAAAGCUGAGUAACACGUGGCCAACCUACCCUGUGGACAGGAAUAACCUCGGGAAACUGAGGAUAAUGCCUGAUAGCAGAACCAUGCUGGAAACGCAGGUUCUGUGAAAUGACACGUCGCCACAGGAUGGGGCCGCGGCUGAUUAGGUUGUCGGUGAGGUAACGGCUCACCGAGCCCGUAAUCAGUAGCAGCCGUGGGAGCGGUAGCUGCCAGUCGUGUUCUGAGACAAGAACACGGGCCCUACGGGGCGCAGCAGGCACGAAACCUUUACAAUGCACGCGAGUGCGAUAGGGGGACUCCGAGUGCGUUCUUCCCACAAGGAAGGACGCUUUUCUGCACUGUAAGGAGGUGCAGGAACAAGGGGUGGGCAAGACUGCUGCCAGCCGCCGCGGUAAUAGCAGCACCCCGAGUGGUAGUCGUUAUUAUUGGGCUUAAAGUGUACGUAGCCGGACCUGUAAGUCUGUUGUGAAAUCCACGCGCUUAACGCAGUGGAAGCGCAACGGAUACUACAGGUCUAGGGACCGGAGGACGCCGAGGCUAUUCCAUGGGUAGGAGUGAAAUCCUAAGAUCCAUGGAGGAGCACCAGUGGCGAAAGCGCUCGGCGACUACGGAUCCGACGGUGAGGUACGAAAGCCAGGGGAGCAAAACGGAUUAGAUACCCGUGUAGUCCUGGCCGUCAACAUUGUCCGCUCGACAUGGCCCAACCUUUGUGGUUUGGCUGUGUCCAAGUGAAAACGUUAAGCGGACCGCCUGGGUAGUACGGUCGCAAGGCUGAAACUUAAAGGAAUUGACGGGGGAGCACCACAACCGGUGGGGGCUGCGGUUUAAUUAGAUCAAACGCAGCGCACCCUACCAGAGCCGACAGCAGAAUGACGGUCAGCUUGAAGAGCUUACCCGACGCGCUGAGAGGAGCUGCAUGGCCGCCGUCAGCUCGUGCCGCGAGGUGUCCGGUUAAGUCCGGUAACGAGCGAGACCCGUACCCUAUGUUGCCACGGAGACACUAGCUGUCUUCGGCACUCGUGGGGGACCGCUGGCGAUAAGCCAGAGGAAGGAGCGGGCCACGGUAGGUCAGUAUGGCCCGAAUGCUCUGGGAUACACGCGGCCCACAAUGGCCGGUACAAACAGAAGCCACCCCGAGAGGGGAAGCUAAUCUGCCAAAACCGGUCCCAGUCCGGAUCGAGGCCUGCAACUCGGCCUCGUGAAGUCGAAAUCGGUAGUAGUCGCUGGUCAUCAUCUAGCGGCGAAUAAGUCCCUGCUCCUUGUACACACCGCCUGUCAAGUCACCCAAGUCAGGUUCAGACGAGCCUCCCACCUAGUGGGAAGCAAGUCUGAGCUUGGCAAGGGGGGCUAAGUCAUAGCAAACAGUUGUGACCCCGAACCGGAAGGUUUGAGGAAAAAUCUGGCU